rnacentral:rRNA from 1 species
CCCCGGUAAACGGCGGCCGUAACUAUAACGGUCCUAAGGUAGCGAAAUUCCUUGUCGGGUAAGUUCCGACCUGCACGAAUGGCGUAAUGAUGGCCAGGCUGUCUCCACCCGAGACUCAGUGAAAUUGAACUCGCUGUGAAGAUGCAGUGUACCCGCGGCAAGACGGAAAGACCCCGUGAACCUUUACUAUAGCUUGACACUGAACAUUGAGCCUUGAUGUGUAGGAUAGGUGGGAGGCUUUGAAGUGUGGACGCCAGUCUGCAUGGAGCCGACCUUGAAAUACCACCCUUUAAUGUUUGAUGUUCUAACGUGGACCCGUAAUCCGGGUUGCGGACAGUGUCUGGUGGGUAGUUUGACUGGGGCGGUCUCCUCCUAAAGAGUAACGGAGGAGCACGAAGGUUGGCUAAUCCUGGUCGGACAUCAGGAGGUUAGUGCAAUGGCAUAAGCCAGCUUGACUGCGAGCGUGACGGCGCGAGCAGGUGCGAAAGCAGGUCAUAGUGAUCCGGUGGUUCUGAAUGGAAGGGCCAUCGCUCAACGGAUAAAAGGUACUCCGGGGAUAACAGGCUGAUACCGCCCAAGAGUUCAUAUCGACGGCGGUGUUUGGCACCUCGAUGUCGGCUCAUCACAUCCUGGGGCUGAAGUAGGUCCCAAGGGUAUGGCUGUUCGCCAUUUAAAGUGGUACGCGAGCUGGGUUUAGAACGUCGUGAGACAGUUCGGUCCCUAUCUGCCGUGGGCGCUGGAGAACUGAGGGGGGCUGCUCCUAGUACGAGAGGACCGGAGUGGACGCAUCACUGGUGUUCGGGUUGUCAUGCCAAUGGCACUGCCCGGUAGCUAAAUGCGGAAGAGAUAAGUGCUGAAAGCAUCUAAGCACGAAACUUGCCCCGAGAUGAGUUCUCCCUGAGACUUAGAGUCUCCUGAAGGAACGUUGAAGACGACGACGUUGAUAGGCCGGGUGUGUAAGCGCAGCGAUGCGUUGAGCUAACCGGUAC